GACGAACGCUGGCGGCGUGCCUAAUACAUGCAAGUCGAACGCUUCUUUCCUACCGAGUGCUCGCACUCAAUUGGAAAGAGGAGUGGCGGACGGGUGAGUAACACGUCGGUAACCUACCCAUCAGAGGGGGAUAACAAUUGGAAAAAGGCGCUAAUACCGCAUAACAGUUUAUGCCGCAUGGCAUAAGAGUGAACGCCGCUUCCGGGUGUCGCUGAUGGGUGGACCCGCGGGGCAUUAGCUAGUUGGUGUUGCAACGGCUCACCAAGGCCACGAUGCAUAGCCGACCUGAGAGGGAGAUCAGCCGCACGGGGACUGGGACGCGGCCCAGACUCCGACGGGGGUCAGCAGUAGGAAGUCUUCGGCAAUGAACGAAAGUCUGACCGGGCAACGCCGCGUGAGUGAAGAAGGUAUUCGGAUCGUAAAACUCUGUUGUUAGAGAAGAACAAGGACGUUAGUAACUGAACGUCCCCUGACGGUAUCUAACCAGAAAGCCACGGCUAACUACGGG
rnacentral:rRNA from 1 species